UAAUACGGAGGGUGCAAGCGUUAAUCGGAAUUACUGGGCGUAAAGCGCACGCAGGCGGUUUGUUAAGUCAGAUGUGAAAUCCCCGAGCUUAACUUGGGAACUGCAUUUGAAACUGGCAAGCUAGAGUCUUGUAGAGGGGGGUAGAAUUCCAGGUGUAGCGGUGAAAUGCGUAGAGAUCUGGAGGAAUACCGGUGGCGAAGGCGGCCCCCUGGACAAAGACUGACGCUCAGGUGCGAAAGCGUUGGGAGCAAACAGGAUUAGAUACCCUGGUAGUCCACGCUGUAAACGAUGUCGACUUGGAGGUUGUGCCCUUGAGGCUUGGCUUCCGGAGCUAACGCGUUAAGUCGACCGCCUGGGGAGUACGGCCGCAAGGUUAAA
rnacentral:rRNA from 1 species